UACGUAGGGUGCAAGCGUUAAUCGGAAUUACUGGGCGUAAAGCGUGCGCAGGCGGUUUUGCAAGACAGAUGUGAAAUCCCCGGGCUUAACCUGGGAACUGCAUUUGUGACUGCAUGGCUAGAGUGCGGCAGAGGGGGAUGGAAUUCCGCGUGUAGCAGUGAAAUGCGUAGAUAUGCGGAGGAACACCGAUGGCGAAGGCAAUCCCCUGGGCCUGCACUGACGCUCAUGCACGAAAGCGUGGGGAGCAAACAGG
rnacentral:rRNA from 1 species